CAGCAGCCGCGGGAAUACGUAGGGUGCGAGCGUUAAUCGGAAUUACUGGGCGUAAAGCGCGCGCAGGCGGUUCGUUAAGACAGAUGUGGAAUCCCCGGGCUUAACCUGGGAACUGCAUUUGUGACUGGCGAGCUAGAGUAUGGCAGAGGGGGGUAGAAUUCCACGUGUAGCAGUGAAAUGCGUAGAGAUGUGGAGGAAUACCGAUGGCGAAGGCAGCCCCCUGGGCCAAUACUGACGCUCAUGCACGAAAGCGUGGGGAGCAAACAGGAUUAGAUACCCGUGUAGUCCCUGUCUCUUAUAC
rnacentral:rRNA from 1 species